UUGGAGAAGUGGCAAGUCUUCCAGUAUGGGGAGCAAACAGCUAUGGGUCAAGCCCGACAUCUUUAGGAGAAGUCUUAUUGUGAGGGCGAGUUGUAAAACACCAUAGGGCUGGCCGUCCCAUAUGAAAAGAUUUUAUUAGAAUUGAAUGAAACUUUGUUUAUAUAUUGAUAAUGACAGUAUAUAUAUCGUGUCUUGACUAAUUGCGUGCCAGCAGUCGCGGUAAUACGUAAGAGACUAGUGUUAUUCAUCUUAAUUAGGUUUAAAGGGUACCCAGACGGUCAAUAUAGCUUAUAAAAUGUUAGUACUUGACUAGAGUUUUAUGUAAGAGGGCAGUACUUGAGGAGGAGAGAUGAAAUUUCGUGAUACCAAAGGGACUCUGUAAAGGCGAAGGCAGCCCUCUAUGUAAAAACUGACGUUGAAGGACGAAGGCACAGAGAACAAACAGGAUUAGAUACCCAAGUAGUCUUUGCAGUAAAUGAUGAAUGCCAUAGGUUAGAUUAAUAGUUAAUGUAUAUAGGCUAGUAUAAUAGACUAUACAUUAAAAAUUAUUUGGUCUAUAAAUGAAAGUGUAAGCAUUUCACCUCAAGAGUAAUGUGGCAACGCAGGAACUGAAAUCACUAGACCGUUUCUGACACCAGUAGUGAAG
rnacentral:rRNA from 2 species